rnacentral:rRNA from 1 species
GGACGAACGCUGGCGGCAUGCCUAAUACAUGCAAGUCGAGCGAACAUUUAUAGAAGCUUGCUUCUAUAAAUGUUAGCGGCGGAUGGGUGAGUAACACGUGGGCAACCUGCCCUGCAGAUGGGGAUAACUCCGGGAAACCGGGGCUAAUACCGGAUAAUCAGUUUGUCCGCAUGGACAAACUCUAAAAGACGGCUUCGGCUGUCACUGCAGGAUGGGCCCGCGGCGCAUUAGCUAGUUGGUGGGAUAACGGCCUACCAAGGCAACGAUGCGUAGCCGACCUGAGAGGGUGAUCGGCCACACUGGGACUGAGACACGGCCCAGACUCCUACGGGAGGCAGCAGUAGGGAAUCUUCCACAAUGGACGGAAGUCUGAUGGAGCAAUGCCGCGUGAGCGAAGAAGGUUUUCGGAUCGUAAAGCUCUGUUGUGAGGGAAGAACAAGUACGGGAGUAACUGCCCGUACCUUGACGGUACCUCAUUAGAAAGCCACGGCUAACUACGUG